AGGAAAAGAAACCAACAGGGAUUGCCCUAGUAACGGCGAGUGAAGCGGCAACAGCUCAAAUUUGAAAUCUGGCGCAAGCCCGAGUUGUAAUUUGUAGAGGAUGCUUCUAGGCAGCGGCCGGUCUAAGUUCCUUGGAACAGGACGUCAUAGAGGGUGAGAAUCCCGUAUGUGACCGGCACGCACCUUUUACGUAGCUCCUUCGACGAGUCGAGUUGUUUGGGAAUGCAGCUCUAAAUGGGAGGUAAAUUUCUUCUAAAGCUAAAUACCGGCUGGAGACCGAUAGCGCACAAGUAGAGUGAUCGAAAGAUGAAAAGCACUUUGGAAAGAGAGUUAAAAAGCACGUGAAAUUGUUGAAAGGGAAGCGCUUGCAACCAGACUUCGUAGCGAUGUUCCGCUGGUCUUCUGACCGGUCUACUCAUCGUCGCGAGGCCAACAUCGUCUGGGCCCGCUGGAUAAGACCUAAGGAAUGUGGCUUCCCUCGGGGAGUGUUAUAGCCUCCAGUGAUGCGGCUGGCUCGGGCGAGGUCCGCGCUUCGGCAAGGAUGAUGGCGUAAUGGUUGUCGGCGGCCCGUCUUGAAACACGGACCAAGGAGUCUAACAUCUAUGCGAGUGUUCGGGUGUCAAACCCCUACGCGUAAUGAAAGUGAACGGAGGUGGGAACUUUUUGUGCACCAUCGACCGAUCCUGAUGUCCUCGGAUGGAUUUGAGUAAGAGCAUAGCUGUUGGGACCCGAAAGAUGGUGAACUAUGCCUGAAUAGGGUGAAGCCAGAGGAAACUCUGGUGGAGGCUCGCAGCGGUUCUGACGUGCAAAUCGAUCGUCAAAUUUGGGUAUAGGGGCGAAAGACUAAUCGAACCAU
rnacentral:rRNA from 1 species